CUGAUAAGUUACUGAAUUAUAUUAUGUGAAUGGUUAUACUUUUAUGGAUGUAUAUUACAUAAAAAGAAGCAUGAUUUUGAUGACAGCUAAUGCAGAAAAUGGAGGAUAUUUAUGGUACAUAGAUGGAGACAACUUGCAUACAGCCAGUGUGGCUUUAAGGUAAAGCAAGACCAUUUCUCUGUUAUGAAGAUUUUUUAUUGACCACUGCAAAUCGCACUGCAGUUUUAUCAGAUGAUUUUUUUUCAACAUUUAGAAGCAUGUGUAUGAAGAAAAACUGAAACUUAAACGUGCCACAUGCA
rnacentral:lncRNA from 1 species